UAAUACAGAGGGUGCAAGCGUUAAUCGGAAUUACUGGGCGUAAAGCGCGCGUAGGUGGUUCGUUAAGUUGGAUGUGAAAUCCCCGGGCUCAACCUGGGAACUGCAUUCAAAACUGUCGAGCUAGAGUAUGGUAGAGGGUGGUGGAAUUUCCUGUGUAGCGGUGAAAUGCGUAGAUAUAGGAAGGAACACCAGUGGCGAAGGCGACCACCUGGACUGAUACUGACACUGAGGUGCGAAAGCGUGGGGAGCAAACAGGAUU
rnacentral:rRNA from 1 species